rnacentral:rRNA from 1 species
GACGAACGCUGGCGGCGUGCUUAAUACAUGCAAGUCGAACGGAAAGGCCCGGCGUUUGCGGGUUUCUCGUGUGGCGAACGCGGGAGUAACACGUGAGUAACCCGUCCCUGAAUUUGGGGUAACAUCAGGAAACAGGGGCUAAUAUCGGGUAUAAGCUCCAGCUCCAUGGGGUGCUAUGGAAAGUUUCGGCGGUGGGAGAUGGACUCGAUGCUCAUGAGCUGUAUGGGGGGGUAGUGGCUUACGAAGGUUUUGACGGCUAGCCGGCAUGGGAGGGUGACCGGCGACAUUGGGCCUGCGGUAGGGCGCAGACUCGUACGGGAGGCAGCGGGGGGGAAUAUUGCAGAAUGGGCGGAAGUCUGAUACAGCAACGCUGCGUGCGGGAUGCCGGGCUUCGGGUUGUAAACCGCUUUGGCAUGAGACGAAGCGUGAGUGACGGUAAUGGGUAAAGAAGCACCGGCUAACUACGUG